UUGAACGCUGGCGGCAUGCUUUACACAUGCAAGUCGAACGGUAACAGGUCUUCGGAUGCUGACGAGUGGCGAACGGGUGAGUAAUGCAUCGGAACGUGCCCAGUCGUGGGGGAUAACGCAGCGAAAGCUGUGCUAAUACCGCAUACGAUCUAUGGAUGAAAGCGGGGGAUCGCAAGACCUCGCGCUAUUGGAGCGGCCGAUAUCAGAUUAGGUAGUUGGUGGGGUAAAGCCUACCAAGCCGACGAUCUGUAGCUGGUCUGAGAGGACGACCAGCCACACUGGGACUGAGACACGGCCCAGACUCCUACGGGAGGCAGCAGUGGGGAAUUUUGGACAAUGGGCGCAAGCCUGAUCCAGCAAUGCCGCGUGCAGGAAGAAGGCCUUCGGGUUGUAAACUGCUUUUGUACGGAACGAAAAGGCUCUGGUUAAUACCUGGGGCUCAUGACGGUACCGUAAGAAUAAGCACCGGCUAACUACGUG
rnacentral:rRNA from 1 species